rnacentral:rRNA from 1 species
UGGCGGACGGGUGAGUAAUGUCUGGGAAACUGCCUGAUGGAGGGGGAUAACUACUGGAAACGGUAGCUAAUACCGCAUAACGUCGCAAGACCAAAGAGGGGGACCUUCGGGCCUCUUGCCAUCGGAUGUGCCCAGAUGGGAUUAGCUAGUAGGUGGGGUAACGGCUCACCCAGGCGACGAUCCCUAGCUGGUCUGAGAGGAUGACCAGCCACACUGGAACUGAGACACGGUCCAG